CGUUAAUUCGAAGAGCGGGUUAGAAAGACAGUGAGUCCAAGGAAUUAGGCCAUCCGUACACAAAUCUCAAUCUAACAGCGAUUUACCUGUAGAACGGAUUCUUCCUCAGCCAAUGGAGUCGUCGACGACGCCGACGACGACAACGACAACGACGACAACAAAUCCGCCGUUCUUUGCCCAUUGUUACAGCAAUCUUCUUUUCGUCUCUUCGCAUUCUCUAACAUAAAUCAUCCUUUCUUCUCUUUUUCUCUGCCAAUCUCCUUCGGUUUACCUCAAUGUCCUCCGCCGCCGUCGAUAAGUCCUUCUUCUGCCACCAGUGUGAUCGCGACGUUACUGUUGCUGUAUCCAAUUCCUUAGAGCCUUUGUGCCCAUUUUGCAAUGAGGGAUUUCUUGAAGAGUAUGAUACUUUCAGCUCGAAUGCCAAUCUUGAUUCUAGGUCAUUUUUCCUUCUCGAUCCUUUUCGUGAUUUUAAUCCCCUUGCUUUCUCUUCUUCGACGGUCGUUGAUCUUCAAAACCCUGGUUUAUUCUCAAGAACUUUGAGUCCGGCUUCACAGCUUUGGAAUAGGAAUCAAUCCGAUUCGUCAGGUCAGCCGGAGCCCUUCGAUCCCUUUGUUUUUCUUCAGAAUCAUUUACGGGGAAUUUUCGACAGUGGUGCGGAUGUUGUGUUUGAAAUUCAGGGUCAUCCUUCCCUCUCUGGCGUUUCAAUGCCUCAAAAUGUUGGCGAUUACUUCAUUGGACCUGGCCUCGAGCAGCUCAUUCAAUUGCUGGCCGAGAAUGAUCCGAACCGACACGGAACUCCACCGGCCUCGAAAUCGGCAAUUGAGAAGCUUCAGAACGUGACUGUUACAGAGGAUCUUUUGAAUUCGGAAAUGAACCAAUGUGCUGUUUGCUUAGAUGGGUUUGAAAAAGGUAUUGAGGUUAAGCAGAUGCCCUGCAAGCAUAUAUUUCACGAUUAUUGUCUUUUGCCUUGGCUUGAAUUGCACAAUUCAUGCCCUGUCUGCCGAUUUGAGUUGGCAACGGAUGAUUCUGAUUACGAGAAUCGAACUCGUGGUCGCCGGGUGCAGGCUAAUGAAUCUAACGGAGAAGAACCAGGGUCAGGAAACAGUGGAAGUAGUAGCGAGCGCGUUGAGAGGAGCUUUAGAGUACCGCUAUGGUGGCCAUUUGGGGGCCGGAACGAUGGGAGCAGCUCUGGUGGUGGGAAUGACAGCGAAGGAGAGGGUAGCCCGUAGGAUAAAUACUGAAAAUGUUCCGGUAACUUUCUCUCUUUGCUUUUAGUUUUGGCUUUUGCAGGCUAAUUGCUUUGCUGUUUCUUUCACAAGUCUUAGAAUACUUUUUGCUGCUUGAUUAAUCUUUCUCUAACUCUCCGUUGAAGAGCUUUCAAAUAUUGAAUCUUUGUCCAAAUUUAGUGGCUCUUAGAUGCUGUUCUUAAGUGGGAUAAUGUGUCCUUCAGUUCUAGAGUUGGGUAUUCAUUAUUUCACGUUAGCCUCCCCCAUAGGUGGUUCUUGAGUGAAAGAGAACAAAGGGCCUAUCCGACAGUUGAUUAAUAGAACACGCGGUUUCGUUACAGAAAACUUGUAUGUUAACUGUCAAGCCCCGAAAAAAGGAGAAAGAAAAAAGUUCAUAGUAUUUUUUUCUUGUUCUGUUUUGAAGUAAUUGUUCAUACGGAACACUCUUUGUACAAUAAUAUAUUUGAUAUAGACUCGAGCGAAAACAGUUAAAAAAUGCAUAUUAAAUAAAUUUGAUAUUGUGCACUCGAAGAAAUCUUGAGGUUGUUUUGCUCUUGAGCUGCACUGUUAAAGGUAUAUCUAAUGCUUUUGCUUAUUUGUACUGUGGAGAGAGCUUCAAUUCGAGACGUAGAUGAUGAAAUAAAUAGUCUAUGGUGUUCGACUUAUCAAUUUGUAAAAAUGUAAACCAAGUAGUAUGCUUAGGAUGAUGCUACAAGCUGUUACUAGUACCUUGUGAUUAAUAGGUGAUAUUUCUAUGACGUAUGAAAGGAAUAAAUGCUUGGAAUACUGGAUAGCCAACAUGAAAUUUUAUUCAUAAAACUCCGAAGCAUUAACGAUCUUCUGUGCAAUGCAUAGUUUCUUGGUGGUAUUUUAUCCACAAAAAAUUCUUUUGUAAUUAUAAUCUUUUGAUGAUUAUAGCAAAUUAUAAUGCCAUUCUGUUAUAGCUGCUUUGGGCGAGGGGUUUCUCUACAUUCAGCCUCUAGGUUGUUACCUUCCUCCAUCUGAGAUAGUUCCUUAUGACAAAACAAAGAUUACAAAAUAGAGUAGGGGAAAUAAGACAUCAACCCAUCGGAAUUUGAACAAGUCCACAAAAAAGAAUUCAAGUAUUGUGAUUACAAAGACAGAGAUAAGUAAGAUAACUGCUAAUAUCCCGAACUUCACUUGGAAGUCUUGACUUGCCCAAAGAAAUUUGUGGGCCCUUCCUGAUCAUGCUUACCCAUCUCUGUAACCACUUAAAGGAAUGGCAAUGACAAAUCUUUUGAGGCCACCCUUUGGAUUGCAUCAAGAGUUUUGAGUCCUCUGCUUAGACUAUUACAUUUGCAACAAAAGAAAAUAUUGACUUUUGGCAUUGAAUUGCAAUGAAUCUUUUAUUAUCUACCUUUGACUUAAAAGUCAUCAAUGAAUAUUGGAUGAAGUUCUCCAUCUUCUGUGUGUGUUUGUUGAUAUCAUUUUUGGAUUGAUUCACCUGUUCAAUCGUUUGGACUGGGGCCCUUUUCUGUUUUGUUAGGUGUUUUGUAUGGCUUCUUUUCUGUGCUGUUGCUAUUCUCAGGAUCUUUUGUUUUCUUUGAUCUUUCCUCAAUGGAAGCUUUGACUUUUUUUUGUCAAAAAAAGUUAUUUUGUUCAAAUGCUUCAUUUAUCUCUUCUAUAGUGCCAGGCUCGUCUCACCUCUGCAAAUAAGACAUCUCAUUCAUGAGGUAUGGCUUUUCUGCUUUAAUAUGAAGAAAACAUCUCCUCUACAUCUUUAGAAACAGCACGUUGCAUUAAAAUACAAGUUUAUUUUCAUAGAUUCCUCUUGUGUCCAACUCAAGCUCUUUUAAAACAUCGUACUUUUGCUUUGACCCAAGAAGAAGAGUGUAUAGCAAUAGAUAUAGUUUGGUCCUUCUUCUCGUUGGCUGAAAGGAAAAAAGGCUCGAGAUAUUAGAAAGUUGCCUCUGACUGAGUCGUAGUAAGCCCAAGCUUUAGAUCGAUUUUGAUCCUUAUUUUGCCUAGUUAGUCUUCUUAUUCUGAUGAUGAUGAAUGAGCUAUUAAUUUGAUUGAACUUGAAUGACAUCAUAGUUCCCUUGUUGAGUUGAUUCAAAAGCAUUUGUGCAAGUGGCUUACGCUUCAAAAGUCGAAAUGAAAUAUUAAUUUUUUCGCUCUCCUUUUGAGAAAGCUUGUGCCUUUACUAAUGCUAAAUUGUUCGAGUUUGUAACGUACCUGUAAGUUUUUCUUUCGAAGUUUCUGGUAUGUAUGUGGCUUUGCAAAGAUAAAAAGGAGCCCUCGCACAGUCAAUGUCUUGUGUUCCUGACAACAGUCUUGGCAACAUUUUAUAGGGGGGUAUAAUUAGGUUGGUUCGGUUAAAUUUGGGUGGAGCCCGAGUGAAUUACGUGUAACAGAAAGAGGAUGUGCAGGGAGAGGAAUGAAUUGUGAAUGUAAUUGUGGAAUGUUGUGAGUGGGGCCUAUGUUAUUAGGACGUGGGCUUUAGUGAAUACAUGAGGAGUCAUAUAUGGACAUAGCUCUAGCAUAUAGUGUGGUAUCUUCCUGGUUAGAAAGGCUUGGCCUUUUAGCAGAGAUGGGUGCUCUCAAAUUCUCCCUUGGACUUGCAUCUCUCUGCUAUCUAUAAGAACUGCUUUUUAUUAGAUUUUUAGACAUUGGCUUAGCACCAACCAAACCAAACCGAACCGAACCAACGACUUUAAACUUACUGAACUGAAUUGGUGCGGUCGGCUUUUUGGGGUUUUGGGUCUCUAUUUAUCUUAAUUUUAAAUUUUGAGUUGCACCCAAGCAUUUUGGAUUACAUAGUAAAACUACUAAAUUGACCAAGAUCUGAGAAGCAUAGACGAGAAGAUAUAGAUGAUAAGACACAGACAGGGUGACAUUUUAUUUCCUAAAAAUUUAGAUAAUAUUUGUUAUUAACUAUGAUGUGGACAUUUAGUAUACAUGAUAAAAAAGAGAUUGGUAUUUGUUAAUAUCUUUCUAAAUUCCAAUGCUUGUUCUGUGACUCAGAAUUUGAAGACAAUCCAAAAUUGAAUAAUUUUCUUCGUAGUUUGAAGUAAGUUCAAAAUAAUUCAUGCCGAGACGAUAUAAUUAGAGUCGUGUUUACAUGAAAAAUUGGGAGUUGUGGAGCUGGUGAUAUCUGGUGAUGGGAUUAAUUUGUGUAUGUAGGCGUGCGUGUUUUCGUUUGAAAUGCUCAGUCAUUUCCUUUUCUUAUAUGUCGAUCUUGCAUACGAAACACGUACGAUAUGAUAUGAAUUUUCUCUUGUUUCUCCAUCACUAGUCUAAUGGGGAGUAUGGUAGAACAGGGUAUUUGGACAUGGGUUGUAUAUUAUAAGGUUUUUGACUGAUGGGUUAGGUUUAUGCAGGUUGAGAUUAGUGAAUUGCUGUCUAUUUUUGGUAGAUAGGCUUUUUAUCCUAAAUAACAUACUUGUUCUUUCGUUCUUUCGUUCAACAUGUGAAGGUAGAGAUUUGAACCAUUAAGCUUUUGGUCGAGCAUGUUUUAACUCGAUGAGUUAUGUUCAAGUUAUCCGUAAGGCGCAGAGGCUUUAUUUUGAGGUUGUCUUACACAUUUAGAAGGAAUUUGAGCUCCAACAAACACAAAAACAAGUCAGUGGCUUUUAGUUGUCUCUUUCUUUUUCCUUUUUUUUUUUUAAAUUGUGUCAUACUGCCGACAGCAUUAUGUAUAGAUGUGUUUAGUUUCUAUACAAAUUACAAAUAUGUUUCUCAAAUCUCUGUUGAAGAUGGAGAGUGAAUGUGGAUAACUAUCUGGUUCAUAUAGCGUUUUCGACCUUGUAUUUUGAGUAUUGAACUAUAAGGCUCCGUUUAAUAAUCGUGGCUUUUAGUUACUACUUUCACUUA